rnacentral:rRNA from 1 species
UACAGAGGGGGGCAAGCGUUGUUCGGAAUUACUGGGCGUAAAGGGCGCGUAGGCGGCCGCCUAAGUCAGACGUGAAAUCCCUCGGCUCAACCGGGGAACUGCGUCUGAUACUGGGUGGCUUGAAUUCGGGAGAGGGAUGCGGAAUUCCAGGUGUAGCGGUGAAAUGCGUAGAUAUCUGGAGGAACACCGGUGGCGAAGGCGACAUCCUGGACCGGUAUUGACGCUGAGGCGCGAAAGCCAGGGGAGCAAAGCGGG